UCUUGGUCAUUUAGAGGAAGUAAAAGUCGUAACAAGGUUUCCGUAGGUGAACCUGCGGAAGGAUCAUUACUGAUUUAGCGAACCGAGCGUUAGCGAGGUUCUGCGAUCGCUUAUAUUUAAAACCCACUCUUGAACGUAUAAAAUUUUAUGUAUUAAUGAUAAAUUAAAAGAUCACUUUUAACAACGGAUCUCUUGGCUCUCGCAUCGAUGAAGAACGUAGCGAAGUGCGAUAAGUAAUGUGAAUUGCAGUAUUCCGUGAAUCAUCGAAUCUUUGAACGCAUAUUGCACUUUCUGGUAUUCCGGAAAGUAUGCCUGUUUGAGGGUCAGUUAAAUAAAAAUCGGUGUUGUUGCUGCCUUUCGUGGUGGCGCGUCGGAAUUGAGUUGUCUUACCUUCGGUUAAGUGACUUAAAAUUUUGUAUGAUUUUUGAACGUAUUUAAAUUUAUUUGUACGUUUGAGAUAUCGAAUGUUUAUUAGGCUCGGUCAUUCUAAUGACCCGCGCCUAUAGUUUUUCAUUAAAUGACCUCAAAUCAGGUAAGAAUACCCGCUGAACUUAAGCAUAUCAAUAAGCGGAGGA
rnacentral:rRNA from 1 species